CGGGUGAGUAACACGUGAGUAACCUGCCCCUGAUUUCGGGAUAAGCCUGGGAAACUGGGUCUAAUACCGGAUACGACCAAUCCUCGCAUGAGGGUUGGUGGAAAGUUUUUCGAUCGGGGAUGGGCUCGCGGCCUAUCAGCUUGUUGGUGGGGUAAUGGCCUACCAAGGCGACGACGGGUAGCCGGCCUGAGAGGGCGACCGGCCACACUGGGACUGAGACACGGCCCAGACUCCUACGGGAGGCAGCAGUGGGGAAUAUUGCACAAUGGGGGAAACCCUGAUGCAGCGACGCAGCGUGCGGGAUGACGGCCUUCGGGUUGUAAACCGCUUUCAGCAGGGAAGAAGCGAAAGUGACGGUACCUGCAGAAGAAGUACCGGCUAACUACGUGCCAGCAGCCGCGGUAAUACGUAGGGUACGAGCGUUGUCCGGAAUUAUUGGGCGUAAAGAGCUCGUAGGUGGUUGGUCACGUCUGCUGUGGAAACGCAACGCUUAACGUUGCGCGUGCAGUGGGUACGGGCUGACUAGAGUGCAGUAGGGGAGUCUGGAAUUCCUGGUGUAGCGGUGAAAUGCGCAGAUAUCAGGAGGAACACCGGUGGCGAAGGCGGGACUCUGGGCUGUAACUGACACUGAGGAGCGAAAGCAUGG
rnacentral:rRNA from 1 species